GAUAGAAAGUUACUUCGGUACAUCGGUGACAGGUGGUGCAUGGUUGUCGUCAGCUCGUGUCGUGAGAUGUUGGGUUAAGUCCCGCAACGAGCGCAACCCCUAUUGUUAGUUGCCAUCAUUCAGUUGGGCACUCUAGCGAGACUGCCGGUAAUAAACCGGAGGAAGGUGGGGAUGACGUCAAAUCAUCAUGCCCCUUAUGACCUGGGCUACACAUGUGCUACAAUGGUUGGUACAACGAGUUGCGAGUCGGUGACGGCGAGCUAAUCUCUUAAAGCCAAUCUCAGUUCGGAUUGUAGGCUGCAACUCGCCUACAUGAAGUCGGAAUCGCUAGUAAUCGCGGAUCAGCACGCCGCGGUGAAUACGUUCCCGGGCCUU
rnacentral:rRNA from 1 species